UACGAAGGGGUCUAGCGUUACUCGGAUUCACUGGGCGUAAAGGGCGCGUAGGCGGCCUGAUAAGUAGGGGGUGAAAUCCUGCGGCUUAACCGCAGGGCUGCCUUCUAAACUGUCAGGCUAGAGCACAGUAGAGGCAGGUGGAAUUCCCGGUGUAGCGGUGGAAUGCGUAGAGAUCGGGAAGAACAUCAGUGGCGAAGGCGGCCUGCUGGGCUGUUGCUGACGCUGAGGCGCGAAAGCGUGGGGAGCAAACAGG
rnacentral:rRNA from 1 species